UACGUAGGGUGCAAGCGUUGUCCGGAAUUAUUGGGCGUAAAGGGUGCGUAGGCGGUUUGGUAAGUCUGAUGUGAAAUCUAUGGGCUCAACUCAUAGUCUGCAUCGGAAACUGCCGGGCUUGAGUAUGGAGAGGUGAGUGGAAUCCUGGUGUAGCGGUGAAAUGCGUAGAUAUCAGGAGGAACACCUGUGGCGAAAGCGGCUCACUGGACCAUAACUGACGCUGAUGCACGAAAGCUAGGGGAGCAAACAGG
rnacentral:rRNA from 1 species